AGCGAACGCUGGCGGCGUGCCUAAUACAUGCAAGUCGAGCGCAGGAAAUCGACGGAACCCUUCGGGGGGAAGUCGAUGGAAUGAGCGGCGGACGGGUGAGUAACACGUAAAGAACCUGCCCUCAGGUCUGGGAUAACCACGAGAAAUCGGGGCUAAUACCGGAUGGGUCAUCGGACCGCAUGGUCCGAGGAUGAAAGGCGCUCCGGCGUCGCCUGGGGAUGGCUUUGCGGUGCAUUAGCUAGUUGGUGGGGUAAUGGCCCACCAAGGCGACGAUGGAUAGCCGACCUGAGAGGGUGAUCGGCCACACUGGGACUGAGACACGGCCCAGACUCCUACGGGAGGCAGCAGUAGGGAAUCUUCCACAAUGGACGAAAGUCUGAUGGAGCAACGCCGCGUGAACAAUGAAGGCCUUCGGGUCGUAAAGUUCUGUUGUAAGGGAAGAACAAGUGCCGCAGGCAAUGGCGGCACCUUGACGGUACCUUGCGAGAAAGCCACGGCUAACUACGUGCCAGCAGCCGCAGUAAGAC
rnacentral:rRNA from 1 species